ACAAUCUGCUUCACAAACAUAUUUAUACAUUGAUAUGUAUGUACGUAAAUAUGUACAUAUUUAACGACAGGCUUCAUGGGAUCUGAGAUUAGUUGGAGGUUCCCCUUCUACCAAGACUUAUCUGGUUACUUUUUCUCAAUAAAGUUGUUCAGAAUCACAACUUUUCUUAGAAUUUUAUACAGCUCAAUCCUCCUUUCAUCUCGGUAAAAUUUGUGCAGAAAUUCAGCAUAACGAUGAUAAAACUGAGAUUAUCCACACUCAUGGUUAUUGCUAUCUUGGUUAUCUUAACCACUGUCCAGUCCCGUGAUGUUGCUGCACGCCAAACUAUCAAAAAAUCAAAUUCCGCCCCAGUUUUUAAACUUCUACAAGUCACGAAAACUCUGGAACAACGGUGUCCGAACGGUCAACAUUAUUCGAAACAUCUGAAAAAAUGUGUCCAUUCGGGAAAGCGCCCACGGGGAUAAGUUUUCUGUCAGCUAAGAAUGUUGUCGAGGACGAAAUAUUUCUUGAAUUUUUGUUUUAAGUGAAUAUUUCUGUAAAAAAUAAAAUUAUUAUUUUUA